rnacentral:rRNA from 1 species
UACGAAGGGGGCUAGCGUUGCUCGGAAUCACUGGGCGUAAAGGGUGCGUAGGCGGGUCUUUUAAGUCAGGGGUGAAAUCCUGGAGCUCAACUCCAGAACUGCCUUUGAUACUGAAGAUCUUGAGUUCGGGAGAGGUGAGUGGAACUGCGAGUGUAGAGGUGAAAUCGUAGAUAUUCGCAAGAACACCAGUGGCGAAGGCGGCUCACUGGCCCGAUACUGACGCUGAGGCACGAAAGCGUGGGGAG